AAACCGGAGCUAAUACCGGAUAAUAUAUUGAACCGCAUGGUUCAAUAGUGAAAGACGGUUUUUGCUGUCACUUAUAGAUGGAUCCGCGCCGCAUUAGCUAGUUGGUAAGGUAACGGCUUACCAAGGCAACGAUGCGUAGCCGACCUGAGAGGGUGAUCGGCCACACUGGAACUGAGACACGGUCCAGACUCCUACGGGAGGCAGCAGUC
rnacentral:rRNA from 1 species